AUUGAACGCUGGCGGCAUGCCUUACACAUGCAAGUCGAACGGUAACAGGUCUUCGGAUGCUGACGAGUGGCGAACGGGUGAGUAAUACAUCGGAACGUGCCCGAUCGUGGGGGAUAACGGAGCGAAAGCUUUGCUAAUACCGCAUACGAUCUACGGAUGAAAGCAGGGGACCGCAAGGCCUUGCGCGGACGGAGCGGCCGAGGGCAGAUUAGGUAGUUGGUGGGAUAAAAGCUUACCAAGCCGACGAUCUGUAGCUGGUCUGAGAGGACGACCAGCCACACUGGGACUGAGACACGGCCCAGACUCCUACGGGAGGCAGCAGUGGGGAAUUUUGGACAAUGGGCGAAAGCCUGAUCCAGCCAUGCCGCGUGCAGGAUGAAGGCCUUCGGGUUGUAAACUGCUUUUGUACGGAACGAAAAGACUCUUUCUAAUAAAGAGGGUCCAUGACGGUACCGUAAGAAUAAGCACCGGCUAACUACGUG
rnacentral:rRNA from 1 species